GCAGUCGUGGCCGAAUAGUUAAGGCGAUGGACUAGACAUCCAUUGGGGUCUCCCCGCACAGGUUCGAAUCCUGUCGACCGCG
rfam:Ixodes scapularis strain Wikel colony gcontig_1108378367442, whole genome shotgun sequence.